AGAGUGAACGCUGGCGGUAGGCCUAACACAUGCAAGUCGAACGGCAGCACGGUAAGAGCUUGCUCUUAUGGGUGGCGAGUGGCGGACGGGUGAGGAAUACAUCGGAAUCUACCUUUUGGUGGGGGAUAACGUAGGGAAACUUACGCUAAUACCGCAUACGCCCUUCGGGGGAAAGCCGGGGACCAGCAAUGGCCUGGCGCUGAUAGAUGAGCCGAUGUCGGAUUAGCUAGUUGGUGAGGUAAUGGCUCACCAAGGCGACGAUCCGUAGCUGGUCUGAGAGGAUGAUCAGCCACACGUGGAACCUGAGACGACGGUCCCAGACUCCGUACGGGAGGCAGCAGUGGGAAUAUGGACAAGUGGACGCAAGGCCUGAUCCAGCCCACGUACCGCGGUAGGGU
rnacentral:rRNA from 1 species